CCUACGGGGGGCAGCAGUGAGGAAUAUUGGUCAAUGGGCGCGAGCCUGAACCAGCCAAGUAGCGUGAGGGAUGAAGGUCCUACGGGUUGUAAACUUCUUUUAUAAAGGAAUAAAGUGAGGCACGUGUGCCUUUUUGUAUGUACUUUAUGAAUAAGGAUCGGCUAACUCCGUGCCAGCAGCCGCGGUAAUACGGAGGAUCCGAGCGUUAUCCGGAUUUAUUGGGUUUAAAGGGAGCGUAGGUGGGCUGUUAAGUCAGCUGUGAAAGUUUGCGGCUCAACCGUAAAAUUGCAAUUGAUACUGGCAGUCUUGAGUAUAGUUGAGGUAGGCGGAAUGCGUGGUGUAGCGGUGAAAUGCUUAGAUAUCACGCAGAACCCCGAUUGCGAAGGCAGCUUACUAAACUGUCACUGACACUGAUGCUCGAAAGCGUGGGGAUCAAACAGGAUUAGAUACCCGAGUAGUC
rnacentral:rRNA from 1 species